CCUACGGGGGGCAGCAGUGGGGAAUAUUGCGCAAUGGGCGAAAGCCUGACACAGCGACGCAGCGUGAGGGAUGAAGGUCUUCGGAUCGUAAACCUCUGUCAGCAGGGAAGAACGGUCACUGUGCUAAUCAGCAGUGAAUUGACGGUACCUGCAAAGGAAGCACAGGCUAACUCCGUGCCAGCAGCCGCGGUAAUACGGAGGGUGCGAGCGUUAAUCGGAAUUACUGGGCGUAAAGCGCUCGUAGGUGGUAUGUCAAGUCAAGGGUGAAAUCCCCGCGCUCAACGUGGGAACUGCCUUUGAAACUGGCAAACUUGAGUGUGUGAGAGGAUAGUGGAAUUCGAGGUGUAGGAGUGAAAUCCGUAGAUAUCUGGAGGAACAUCAGUGGCGAAGGCGACUAUCUGGCACAUAACUGACGCUGAGGAGCGAAAGCGUGGGUAGCAAACAGGAUUAGAUACCCCAGUAGUC
rnacentral:rRNA from 1 species